GUGGGGAAUCUUGCGCAAUGGGCGAAAGCCUGACGCAGCCAUGCCGCGUGAAUGAUGAAGGUCUUAGGAUUGUAAAAUUCUUUCACCGGGGACGAUAAUGACGGUACCCGGAGAAGAAGCUCCGGCUAACUUCGUGCCAGCAGCCGCGGUAAUACGAAGGGGGCUAGCGUUGCUCGGAAUUACUGGGCGUAAAGGGCGCGUAGGCGGACAGCUUAGUCAGAGGUGAAAGCCCAGGGCUCAACCUUGGAAUUGCCUUUGAUACUGGCUGUCUUGAGUUUGGGAGAGGUGAGUGGAACUCCGAGUGUAGAGGUGAAAUUCGUAGAUAUUCGGAAGAACACCAGUGGCGAAGGCGACUCACUGGCUCAUUACUGACGCUGAGGCGCGAAAGCGUGGGGAGCAAACAGGAUUAGAAACCCUAGUAGUCC
rnacentral:rRNA from 1 species